rnacentral:rRNA from 1 species
GACGAACGCUGGCGGCGUGCUUAACACAUGCAAGUCGAACGGGCCUGUCUUCUUUUUUGGGGGUGGGUUGAGUGGCGAACGGGUGAGUAUCACGUGAGUAACCUGCCCUUCGGUCCUGGAUAACCGCUUGAAAGGGCGGCUAAUACGGGGUGGUCCGGUUGGUCCGCAUGGGCUGGUCGGGAUAGAUUCACUGUUUUUGGUGUUUCGGCGGGGGAUGGGCUCGCGGCCUAUCAGCUUGUUGGUGGGGUGAUGGCCUACCAAGGCGGUGACGGGUAGCCGGGCGGAGAGGGUGGGCGGCCACACUGGGACUGAGAUACGGCCCAGACUCCUGCGGGAGGCAGCAGUGGGGGGUAUUGCACAAUGGGCGGAAGCCUGAUGCAGCGACGUCGCGUGAGGGAUGGAGGCCUUCGGGUUGUGAACCUCUGUUUCCGGUGGUGAAGGUCCUGUCCGUGUGGUGGGGUUGACGGUAGCCGGGGAUGAAGCGCCGGCUAACUACGUG